rnacentral:rRNA from 1 species
UACGUAGGGCGCAAGCGUUUGUCCGGAAUUAUUGGGCGUAAAGAGCUCGUAGGCGCCAGUUGCGUCUGCUGUGAAAGCCCUGGGCUCAACCCAGGAAGUGCACUCGAAGCUGGCGGGCUUGAAUAUGGAAGAGGGUCGCGGAAUUCCCGGUGUAGAGGUGAAAUUCGUAGAUAUCGGGAGGAACACCAGUGGCGAAGGGCGGCGACCUGGGCCAAUAGUUGACGUCAGAGGUGGCGGAAAGCCGAAUGGG